rnacentral:rRNA from 1 species
CGUCAAAUCAUCACGCCCCUUACGUCUUGGGCUACACACGUGCUACAAUGGCUAUUACAAAGGGCUGCAAGACCGCAAGGUUAAGCGAAUCCCAUAAAGAUAGUCUCAGUUCAGAUUGUGGGCUGCAACCCGCCCACAUGAAGUCGGAGUUGCUAGUAAUCCCGGAUCAGCACGCCGGGGUGAAUGCGUUCCCGGGUCUU